rnacentral:rRNA from 1 species
AGUGAACGCUGGCGGUAGGCCUAACACAUGCAAGUCGAACGGCAGCACAGUAAGAGCUUGCUCUUACGGGUGGCGAGUGGCGGACGGGUGAGGAAUACAUCGGAAUCUACUUUUUCGUGGGGGAUAACGUAGGGAAACUUACGCUAAUACCGCAUACGACCUACGGGUGAAAGCAGGGGAUCUUCGGACCUUGCGCGAUUGCAUGAGCCGAUGUCGGAUUAGCUAGUUGGCGGGGUAAAGGCCCACCAAGGCGACGAUCCGUAGCUGGUCUGCGAGGAUGAUCAGCCACACUGGAACUGAGACACGGUCCAGACUCCUACGGGAGGCAGCAGUGGGGAAUAUUGGACAAUGGGCGCAAGCCUGAUCCAGCCAUACCGCGUGGGUGAAGAAGGCCUUCGGGUUGUAAAGCCCUUUUGUUGGGAAAGAAAAGCAGCAGGUUAAUACCCCGCUGUUCUGACGGUACCCAAAGAAUAAGCACCGGCUAACUUCGUG